rnacentral:rRNA from 1 species
ACAUGCAAAUCGAGCGAAGCGCUAAAGUUUGAUUCUUCGGAUGAAGACUUUUGUGACUGAGCGGCGGACGGGUGAGUAACGCGUGGGUAACCUGCCUCAUACAGGGGGAUAACAGUUAGAAAUGACUGCUAAUACCGCAUAAGACCACAGGGGCGCAUGACCCGGUGGUAAAAACUCCGGUGGUAUGAGAUGGACCCGCGUCUGAUUAGCUAGUUGGUGGGGUAACGGCUCACCAAGGCGACGAUCAGUAGCCGACCUGAGAGGGUGACCGGCCACAUUGGGACUGAGACACGGCCCAAACUCCUACGGGAGGCAGCAGUGGGGAAUAUUGCACAAUGGGCGAAAGCCUGAUGCAGCGACGCCGCGUGAAGGAUGAAGUAUUUCGGUAUGUAAACUUCUAUCAGCAGGGAAGAAAAUGACGGUACCUGACUAAGAAGCCCCGGCUAACUACGUGCCAGCAGCCGCGGUAAUACGUAGGGGGCAAGCGUUAUCCGGAUUUACUGGGUGUAAAGGGAGCGUAGACGGCAUGGCAAGUCUGAAGUGAAAGCCCGGGGCUCAACCCCGGGACUGCUUUGGAAACUGUCAGGCUAGAGUGCUGGAGAGGUAAGUGGAAUUCCUAGUGUAGCGGUGAAAUGCGUAGAUAUUAGGAGGAACACCAGUGGCGAAGGCGGCUUACUGGACAGUAACUGA